GUAGGUCGCAAGCGUUGUCCGGAUUUACUGGGCGUAAAGAGCGCGCAGGCGGCUGGCCAAGUCCGAUGUGAAAGCUUCCGGCUUAACUGGAAAAUUGCAUCGGAAACUGGUCGGCUUGAAGGUGGGAGAGGGUAGCGGAAUUCCCGGUGUAGUGGUGAAAUGCGUAGAUAUCGGGAGGAACACCAGUGGCGAAGGCGGCUACCUGGCCCAUUCUUGACGCUGAGGCGCGAAAGCUAGGGGAGCGAACGGGAUUAGAUACCCCGGUAGUCCUAGCCGUAAACGAUGAACACUAGGCGUUGUCGGUAUCGACCCCGGCAGUGCCGAAGCUAACGCAUUAAGUGUUCCGCCUGGGGAGUACGGCCGCAAGGCUA
rnacentral:rRNA from 1 species